rnacentral:rRNA from 1 species
CAGCACCUCAAGUGGUCAGGAUGAUUAUUGGGCCUAAAGCAUCCGUAGCCGGCGCUGUAAGUUUUCGGUUAAAUCUGUACGCUCAACGUACAGGCUGCCGGGAAUACUGCAGCGCUAGGGAGUGGGAGAGGUAGACGGUACUCGGUAGGAAGGGGUAAAAUCCUUUGAUCUAUUGAUGACCACCUGUGGCGAAGGCGGUCUACCAGAACAUGUCCGACGGUGAGGGAUGAAAGCUGGGGGAGCAAACCGGAUUAGAUACCCGCGUAGUCC